rnacentral:rRNA from 1 species
ACGGGAGGCAGCAGUGGGGAAUUUUCCGCAAUGGGCGAAAGCCUGACGGAGCAAUACCGCGUGAGGGAUGACGGCCUAUGGGUUGUAAACCUCUUUUUUCAGGGAGGAAUCAAUGACGUGUACCUGAAGAAUAAGCAUCGGCUAACUCCGUGCCAGCAGCCGCGGUAAGACGGAGGAUGCAAGUGUUAUCCGGAAUCACUGGGCGUAAAGCGUCUGUAGGUGGUCAAAUAAGUCAACUGUUAAAUCUUGAGGCUCAACCUCGAAAUCGCAGUCGAAACUAUUAGACUAGAGUAUAGUAGGGGUAAAGGGAAUUUCCAGUGGAGCGGUGAAAUGCGUAGAGAUUGGAAGGAACACCGAUGGCGAAGGCACUUUACUGGGCUAUUACUAACACUCAGAGACGAAAGCUAGGGUAGCAAAUGGGAUUAGAUACCCCAGUAGUCCUAGCUGUAAACAAUGGAUACUAGAUGUUGAACAGAUCGACCUGUGCAGUAUCAAAGCUAACGCGUUAAGUAUCCCGCCUGGGAAGUAUGCUCGCAAGAGUGAAACUCAAAGGAAUUGACGG